UGGUGCUGGAGAAGGAGCUGAGAGUGAAGAAGGAGCUACAUCUUGAUCCCACAGAGUGCACCAUGGACACUAUUUCUGAGACAAUCCUACUGUGCAUUUGGCAUGGAAUUGACCAGCUGAGCACCAGCGGCGGCUGGCUUGUCUUUCCCAGUUCCUUCAUAUGCUCCUCCCUCUCCUUCUCAUUUCCAGGUCCCCAGGCUGACUAUCUUAUAGUGGGUAGCCAUUCCACCUUUGAUCUGGAAGUUCCAA